CCCAAAUUCCCUCUCCGCCCUCCAUGUGCCUUAGCACAGCUUCUGGGAGAAUCUGUUCCACCACCUUUCCAGGCACAGAGGGGAGGUUGACAGCUCAGUAGACAGUGGUUCCCAGACUUUGCUGUACGUACUUCUAGUGGUGUUGGAAUGGUUUCAGACCAGUUCUGCACAUAAUGAUUGCCAAACCAAUUAAAGCUCUCACUGGACUUCAGAUUUGCUGUAAGGUUGUAAUGUCUCCUUAACUGUUUGCAAUUGAAGACCUCACUGGAGUGAUUUAGUCUUCUUUUAGGAGUUAUAGAGAAGGUUCCCUACUGAAGAACAGGAAUCAAGUCACACUAGAUACUCUGAGUUUGGAUCCUCUGCACAUAUACUAAGAAAAUUAUGAUCUGAUGUGUCAGACAACUUUUGUUGAAGGGAACAUGAACAUUUGAAUCCCACUAGUCUCAAGAGGCAGACCACUAUUUACUCCAAACAAGACAUUCAUGAUGGUUUGAAAGGCAUCUCUAAGCACACUCUGCACAGCAGGCAAGGCCAGGUUUUGCAUCCCCCAAGAAAGAAGAACAGACACACUCCCAGGGAGGAAAAAAGGACUAGAAGACAUUACAUGAAUCAUCGAGUCCAUUCCCUGUCCACAACCAGGUAACAUAUUGCUGGAUCAAAGAACUCUACUCUUUCCCACACUGCAAAACCCUCAGAGUAUUUUGCAACAUCUUGUAAUAAUUCCCAGACCUUUACUACAAAAAGAGCUGUGGAAAAUAUUCUUGGCA